AGAGUUUGAUCAUGGCUCAGAUUGAACGCUGGCGGCAUGCCUUACACAUGCAAGUCGAACGGCAGCGCGGGGCAACCUGGCGGCGAGUGGCGAACGGGUGAGUAAUAUAUCGGAACGUACCCUGGAGUGGGGGAUAACGUAGCGAAAGUUACGCUAAUACCGCAUACGAUCUGAGGAUGAAAGUGGGGGAUCGCAAGACCUCAUGCUCCUGGAGCGGCCGAUAUCUGAUUAGCUAGUUGGUGGGGUAAAGGCCUACCAAGGCAUCGAUCAGUAGCUGGUCUAAGAGGACGACCAGCCACACUGGAACUGAGACACGGUCCAGACUCCUACGGGAGGCAGCAGUGGGGAAUUUUGGACAAUGGGCGAAAGCCUGAUCCAGCAAUGCCGCGUGAGUGAAGAAGGCCUUCGGGUUGUAAAGCUCUUUUGUCAGGGAAGAAACGGUGAGGGCUAAUAUCCCUUGCUAAUGACGGUACCUGAAGAAUAAGCACCGGCUAACUACGUGCCAGCAGCCGCGGUAAUACGUAGGGUGCAAGCGUUAAUCGGAAUUACUGGGCGUAAAGCGUGCGCAGGCGGUUUUGUAAGUCUGUCGUGAAAUCCCCGGGCUCAACCUGGGAAUUGCGAUGGAGACUGCAAGGCUAGAAUCUGGCAGAGGGGGGUAGAAUUCCACGUGUAGCGGUGAAAUGCGUAGAGAUGUGGAGGAACACCGAUGGCGAAGGCAGCCCCCUGGGUCAAGAUUGACGCUCAUGCACGAAAGCGUGGGGAGCAAACAGGAUUAGAUACCCUGGUAGUCCACGCCCUAAACGAUGUCUACUAGUUGUCGGGUUUUAAUUAACUUGGUAACGCAGCUAACGCGUGAAGUAGACCGCCU
rnacentral:rRNA from 1 species